GUGUCAGCCGCCGCGGUAAUACGUAGGUGGCAAGCGUUGUCCGGAAUUACUGGGCGUAAAGGGUGCGCAGGCGGACAUUUAAGUGAGAUGUGAAAGACCCGGGCUUAACUUGGGCAGUGCAUUUCAAACUGGAUGUCUGGAGUGCAGGAGAGGAGAACGGAAUUCCUAGUGUAGCGGAGAAAUGCGUAGAGAUGAGGAAGAACACCAGUGGCGAAGGCGGUUCUCUGGGCUGUAACUGACGCGGAGGCACG
rnacentral:rRNA from 1 species